rnacentral:rRNA from 1 species
CUACGGGUUGCUCCAGUGAGGAAUAUUGCACAAUGGGGGGAACCCUGAUGCAGCAACGCCGCGUGGAGGAUGACGCAUUUCGGUGUGUAAACUCCUUUUAUAUGUCAAGAAAAUGACGGUAGCAUAUGAAUAAGCACCGGCUAACUCCGUGCCAGCAGCCGCGGUAAUACGGAGGGUGCAAGCGUUACUCGGAAUCACUGGGCGUAAAGGACGCGUAGGCGGGCUUGUAAGUCAGGUGUGAAAUCCUACAGCUUAACUGUAGAACUGCACUUGAAAAUACGAGCCUAGAGUAUGGGAGGGGAGAUUGAAUUAGUGGUGUAGGGGUAAAAUCCGUAGAUAUCACUAGGAAUACCUAAAGCGAAGGCGAUCUCCUGGAACAUAACUGACGCUAAGGCGUGAAAGCGUGGGGAGCAAACAGGAUUAGAUACCCUCGUAGUC